rnacentral:pre_miRNA from 1 species
AUAGGAAUCCCCUGAGGAUCUUGUCAAAGUGCAAAUUCGGAUUCCACAGAACCGGGGUGGGACCCCAGAUUCUGCAUUUCUGACAAUUCCCAGAGGGUGGCAAU